CAAUUUUUUCGGUUCGUUUGAGAGAAACGUAAUGGUCAAAAGAGAAUGAUCUUUCUCGUUAGUAUUAAAUUUUGAUUCGAGGUAAAUGAUUUAUUUAAAAGAAUUUAGUGAUAUAUCGAGAAUUUUUGAAUAAUUCGAAGGUUUAUAUAAUAAUAUUUUAAAGUGUUUAAAGAAAAAUAGAAAUAAAGAUUCAUGUCCAGAUGGAGAUAUACAUGUUUAAUAUUUGAUAUAUAUUCACAAGAUCCAGUCUGGCCAUAAAAUGUAAAUAAUUGGAGGACGAUCGAUAAUCUAUUUCAUGCAUGACAAAAUAAUCGAUUUGUAAAAUUGGAUUAACGGGACACGCCACGACGAGUUUCGAGUAAAAAUUAGUAAACAGAUUGUUGACCGCGAUAAACGUCCACGCCAUGCGAUUCAAUUCAGUUUUCUAAAAAGUAUAAAAUAUA